rnacentral:rRNA from 1 species
AUUGAACGCUGGCGGCAUGCCUUACACAUGCAAGUCGAACGGUAACGGGUCCUUCGGGAUGCCGACGAGUGGCGAACGGGUGAGUAAUAUAUCGGAACGUGCCCAGUAGUGGGGGAUAACUGCUCGAAAGAGCAGCUAAUACCGCAUACGACCUGAGGGUGAAAGGGGGGGAUCGCAAGACCUCUCGCUAUUGGAGCAGCCGAUAUCAGAUUAGCUAGUUGGUGGGGUAAAGGCCUACCAAGGCAACGAUCGGUAGUUGGUCUGGAAGGACGACCAGCCACACUGGGACUGAGACACGGCCCAGACUCCUACGGGAGGCAGCAGUGGGAAAUUUUGGACAAUGGGCGCAAGCCUGAUCCAGCAAUGCCGCGUGCAGGAAGAAGGCCUUCGGGUCGUAAACUGCUUUUGUCAGGGAAGAAAUCUUCUGGGCUAAUACCCCGGGAGGAUGACGGUACCUGAAGAAUAAGCACCGGCUAACUACGUGCCAGCAGCCGCCGUAA